CCUACGGGAGGCAGCAGUGAGGAAUAUUGGUCAAUGGACGAGAGUCUGAACCAGCCAAGUAGCGUGAAGGAUGACUGCCCUAUGGGUUGUAAACUUCUUUUAUAUGGGAAUAAAAUGUUCCACGUGUGGGAUUUUGUAUGUACCAUAUGAAUAAGGAUCGGCUAACUCCGUGCCAGCAGCCGCGGUAAUACGGAGGAUCCGAGCGUUAUCCGGAUUUAUUGGGUUUAAAGGGAGCGUAGGUGGGUUGUUAAGUCAGUUGUGAAAGUUUGCGGCUCAACCGUAAAAUUGCAGUUGAUACUGGCAGUCUUGAGUACAGUAGAGGUGGGCGGAAUUCGUGGUGUAGCGGUGAAAUGCUUAGAUAUCACGAAGAACUCCGAUUGCGAAGGCAGUUCACUGGACUGCAACUGACACUGAGGCUCGAAAGUGUGGGUAUCAAACAGGAUUAGAUACCCUAGUAGUC
rnacentral:rRNA from 1 species